rnacentral:rRNA from 1 species
GAUGAACGCUGGCGGCGCGCCUAAUACAUGCAAGUCGAGCGAACAGACGAGGAGCUUGCUCCUCUGACGUUAGCGGCGGACGGGUGAGUAACACGUGGAUAACCUACCUAUAAGACUGGGAUAACUUCGGGAAACCGGAGCUAAUACCGGAUAAUAUAUUGAACCGCAUGGUUCAAUAGUGAAAGACGGUUUUGCUGUCACUUAUAGAUGGAUCCGCGCCGCAUUAGCUAGUUGGUAAGGUAACGGCUUACCAAGGCAACGAUGCGUAGCCGACCUGAGAGGGUGAUCGGCCACACUGGAACUGAGACACGGUCCAGACUCCUACGGGAGGCAGCAGUAGGGAAUCUUCCGCAAUGGGCGAAAGCCUGACGGAGCAACGCCGCGUGAGUGAUGAAGGUCUUCGGAUCGUAAAACUCUGUUACUAGGGAAGAACAAAUGUGUAAGUAACUAUGCACGUCUUGACGGUACCUAAUCAGAAAGCCACGGCUAACUACGUG